UGCAGCAACUGCCGCGUGAGGUGAUGACAGGCCUUCGGGUUGUAAACCUCUUUCAGUAAGGAAGAAGCGAAAGUGACGGUACCUGCAAAAAAAGCACCGGCUAACUACGUGCCAGCAGCCGCGGUAAUACGUAGGGUGCAAGCGUUGUCCGGAAUUAUUGGGCGUAAAGAGCUCGUAGGCGGUUUGUCGCGUCUGCUGUGAAAUCCCGAGGCUCAACCUCGGGCUUGCAGUGGGUACGGGCAGACUAGAGUGCAGGAGGGGAGAUUGGAAUUCCUGGUGUAGCGGUGGAAUGCGCAGAUAUCAAGAGGAACACCGAUGGGGAAGGCAGAUCUCUGGGCCGGAACUGACGCUGAGGAGCGAAGGCAUGGGGAGCGAACAGGAUUACAUGCCCUGGUAGUCCAUGCCGUAAACGUGGGGCGCUACAUGUAGGGACCUUUCCACGGGUUCAGUGUCGGAACUAACGCAUUAAGCGGCCCGCCUGGGGAGUACGGCCGCAAGGCUAAAACUCAGAGGAAUUGACGGGGGCCCGCAGAAGCGUCGGAUCAUGCUGAUUAAUUCGAUGCAACGCGUAGAACCUUACCACGGCUUGACAUACACCGGAAACCGCCAGAGAUGGUCCCCCCCUUG
rnacentral:rRNA from 1 species